rnacentral:misc_RNA from 1 species
AGGUGCUGAUGGAGGGCCUUGGAGACGGUUAUGCGCAUUGCCUGCAUUCUGGGUGGGUAUACUCUACGAUGAGGGGUCUUUGCAAAGCGUUUUGGACAUGACAUUUGAUUGGACUGCAGAAGAAAGAGACAUGUUAAGGAAUAAGGUGCCAAAAAGUGGUCUGAAGACACCAUUUCGAGAUGGAUUGCUUAUGCAUGUUGCUCAAGAUGUUGUCAAGUUGGCAAAGGAAGGCUUGGAAAGAAGAGGCUUUAAGGAAACAGGAUUUCUGAACGAAGUAGCCGAGGUUGUUAAAACAGGUGUAACACCAGCUGAGAA